ACGUAGGGUGCGAGCGUUAAUCGGAAUUACUGGGCGUAAAGCGCGCGCAGGCGGAUUGUUAAGCAAGACGUGUAAUCCCCGGGCUUAACCUGGGAAUGGCGCUUGUGACUGGCGGGCUGGAGGACGGCAGAGGGGGGUGGAAUUCCACGUGUAGCAGUGGAAUGCGUAGAUAUGUGGAGGAACACCGAUGGCGAAGGCAGCCCCCUGGGCCGAUUCUGACGCUCAUGCACGAAAGCGUGGGGAGCAAACAG
rnacentral:rRNA from 1 species